rnacentral:rRNA from 1 species
GAUCCUGGCUCAGGAUGAACGCUAGCUACAGGCUUAACACAUGCAAGUCGAGGGGCAUCAGUUUGGUUUGCUUGCAAACCAAAGCUGGCGACCGGCGCACGGGUGAGUAACACGUAUCCAACCUGCCUCAUACUCGGGGAUAGCCUUUCGAAAGAAAGAUUAAUAUCCGAUAGCAUAAUUCUUCCGCAUGGUAGAACUAUUAAAGAAUUUCGGUCAUCGAUGGGGAUGCGUUCCAUUAGGUUG